rnacentral:lncRNA from 1 species
GGAAGGGAGAUAAGCAAAAAUAGCACUCAAAUGACAGUACAGGGGAGGAAAAUGGUGCAGAUUGGGUAAGAGAUAAGCUUGCCGAAAAUCGCCUUGCCGGAGAAUUUGAAAGCAAAGAGUCAGUAAAAGUGAUAAUGAGAGGGGAAGGGGAGUUUUUAUAAGGAGUACGACACGGAACCCCAAGGCGGCUAUUAAAUACUGGAGGUGGGCCCAGGCGUGAAAAGACGUGCAACGUUUCAAAUAUCAAGAAGUGACUGUACGGCUUCCACGGACAGUCCAUCAUUAUCUGUCAUGACCGUUCAAGUCCUGACCUUUCAAGUCUCCAAUCAUAAAUAUGUUAUG